UGAGACUGUCGGGCGGCCGCAGGCAGGGGCAGAAAUGCUUUCGUGUCUGAGGAAAGUCCGAGCUCCAUAGGGCAGGAUGCCGGGUAACGCCCGGUGGAGGCGACUCCAAGGAAAGUGCAACAGAAAUAUACCGCCCCUUCCCUUCGGGAGGGGUAAGGGUGGAAAGGCGAGGUAAGAGCUCACCAGCGGCA
rnacentral:RNase_P_RNA from 1 species